rnacentral:rRNA from 1 species
GUCGAGCGACUGAUUAGAAGCUUGCUUCUAUGACGUUAGCGGCGGACGGGUGAGUAACACGUGGGCAACCUGCCUGUAAGACUGGGAUAACUUCGGGAAACCGAAGCUAAUACCGGAUAGGAUCUUCUCCUUCAUGGGAGAUGAUUGAAAGAUGGUUUCGGCUAUCACUUACAGAUGGGCCCGCGGUGCAUUAGCUAGUUGGUGAGGUAACGGCUCACCAAGGCAACGAUGCAUAGCCGACCUGAGAGGGUGAUCGGCCACACUGGGACUGAGACACGGCCCAGACUCCUACGGGAGGCAGCAGUAGGGAAUCUUCCGCAAUGGACGAAAGUCUGACGGAGCAACGCCGCGUGAGUGAUGAAGGCUUUCGGGUCGUAAAACUCUGUUGUUAGGGAAGAACAAGUACGAGAGUAACUGCUCGUACCUUGACGGUACCUAACCAGAAAGCCACGGCUAACUACGUGCCAGCAGCCGCGGUAAUACGUAGGUGGCAAGCGUUAUCCGGAAUUAUUGGGCGUAAAGCGCGCGCAGGCGGUUUCUUAAGUCUGAUGUGAAAGCCCACGGCUCAACCGUGGAGGGUCAUUGGAAACUGGGGAACUUGAGUGCAGAAGAGAAAAGCGGAACUUCCACGUGUAGCGGUGAAAUGC